UAUCUUUCUUUCCUCUUAGGAUUUCAUCACCAAGAUCCUGGAUCCUAAAGCUGCUUAUUAUAUUGGCCUUUUGGAUCCAGGUCACCGACAGUGGCGCUGGGUUGAUCAGACACCAUACAAUGAAAGUGACACGUUCUGGCAACCAUGUGACCCCGACAAUGACAAUGAACAAUGCGUUAUAAUAAAUCAUCAAUAUUCUAGUUGGGGCUGGAAUGAUGUCCCUUGCAGUGGUGAACAGAUGUCAGUUUGUCAGAUGAAGAAAAUAUACUUAUGAAUCAAGCAUUCUCCAUAGACAUGGAUUGCAUUUUUAUCCAGCAUUACACAGACACCUGGAAAGACCUUCUUGUGGAAAUUUAGAAAUUUAGGCAGGCAGCCAACAGUUAUCCAUAUGAUAAUACUGGUCCUCUUAUAUAGUUAUUUAUUCAUCCUUUAUUCUUUAUAUAAUGAGAAUUUCCCAUAUACCAGAGACUCUACAGGAUCCUUUGUGAAUAUGUGGAAGCACUCCAGCCUCUAUGUCCAUUCUUAGAUUCCUAAAGUCUAAUUUGAUGAUAGAAUUUUAUGGUGUGGAGCCUCUACCAAUUUCUCUAUGUUCUUCUGAUUUGAAUUUAUUGAUGUAUAAUUGACAAAUAAAUCAUGUAUAUUUACAUUA